rnacentral:rRNA from 2 species
AGCCCAACAUCGAAGCUCGCAAGCAUAUUGUUUGUUGAGCAAUGUGAUGUUAAGAUGUUUGCUUUCGUAAACUGGCCAACUUGAAGUCCAAAUUUGAAUGUGGCAUAUAUGUAUAAACCCAUAGAUGGUGAAAGGCCCGUUCAAGUUGGUAGUCAGACAUGACAGUUUGCGUGUAUGCAUUUAUCUUGGAGUCGGAUUGCUUGAGAGUGCAGUCCAAAGUUGGUGGUAAACUCCAUCUAAGGCUAAAUACCUGUACGAGUCCGAUAGUUAACAAGUACCGUGAGGGAAAGUUGAAAAGUACUCUGAAGAGAGAGUAAACAGUACGUGAAACUACAUGGAGGUUAAUCAGAUAGAGUCAAGCUGCUUACCGUUGAACAUUGCUUUACGUGUUAUGAAUAAGUAAUUCGACACUAUACCAUGCGCAGUGCAUUUAUUUGCCAGUCUAUUUAUAGACGGAUGUUUCAUUGUAAAUGAAGCAUUAUGUGUGUGUUUGUAUGUGUCAGCAUGUAUUGUUUAUGUUGGCGGUUUGUGCCACAAUCGUUUACUUAAUCAGAUAAUUUUAAUCAGCUGUGUUCGCUUAGAUUGCAAAAUUUAAAUGAACACAUAGUUAAACAGUUAACAUGAUGAUGUUUUAGUUUCGGCUAAAGUGUCUAUUAUGUUGAAAAGGGCCACGGCCUGUUGGUUAAAGUUAUUACACAUCUGUGUGGGUAAUCGUUAUACAUAUACAUGUUAAGUUUGUAUAUCAUGGUUCUCUUAGCCUAAUGUCAAAAUUGGGGUAGCCAUGUGCAAACGUGUAUGU